rnacentral:rRNA from 1 species
CACGUAGGGGGCGAGCGUUGUCCGGAUUUAUUGGGCGUAAAGAGCUCGUAGGCGGUUUCGUAAGUCGGAUGUGAAAACUCCAGGCUCAACUUGGAGACGCCAUUCGAUACUGCGAUGACUUGAGUCCGGUAGGGGAGUGUGGAAUUCCUGGUGUAGCGGUGAAAUGCGUAGAUAUCGGGAGGAACACCGGUGGCGAAGGCGGCCCCCUGGUUGGAUACUGACGCUGAGACGCGAAAGCGUGGGGAGCAAACAGG